AACGAACGCUGGCGGCAUGCCUAACACAUGCAAGUCGAACGAGACCUUCGGGUCUUGUGGCGCACGGGUGCGUAACGCGUGGGAACCUGCCCUUAGGUUCGGCAUAACUCCCCGACAGGGGUGCUAAUACCGGAUAAUUUCUUCGGACCAAUGAUUUAUCGCCUUUGGAUGGGCCCGCGUUGGAUUAGCUAGUUGGUAGGGUAAAAGCCUACCAAGGCGACGAUCCAUAGCUGGUCUGAGAGGAUGAUCAGCCACACUGGGACGGAGACACGGCCCAGACUCCUACGGGAGGAAGCAGUGGGGAAUAUUGGAAAAUGGGCGAAAGCCUGAUCCAGCAAUGCCGCGUGAGUGAUGAAGGCCUUAGGGUUGUAAAGCUCUUUUACCCGGGAUGAUAAUGACAGUACCGGGAGAAUAAGCUCCGGCUAACUCCGUG
rnacentral:rRNA from 1 species